CUAACGUGUCCAGCUCAAAAAGGUUCUCCAUCACUGGUCUAACCAUCCACAGUUAGCCUAUAUAGACAACUUUGCUGAAUAUAAAAUAUAAUUGACCGAGUUAUUCAAUAAAGGGAGAAUUUAAGGUCAAAGUAGCCCAUCCUGGAAACAUUCUCUGAGCCAGCUAUAUGUUCUGUUCGGCUACUCUGGCUUUAGAUUUGAAUUUCACUGUGAAUUCUCCAUUUGUAAGUUACCCUCUGAAAGGUAAAUCGUCCGGCAUUAAAUCUAAAUUUCAUAUUUUAGACCAAGAUAGAAAAAAAUUCUCAAGGGGGUCAGUCACUAAGCUGCAAACUCAAUUGAAUGGCAAAACCGAGGAUAGAAAUACAUUUUUGCAUUUCUGUUAUUUUGGCCUUUUUUUAUCUCUUUCAAUUCCAGUUUAGCAAAUAAUCCUGCAGGAGACACAUGUUUAGUUUGGAUAUUUUAUUUCACACUGG